rnacentral:rRNA from 1 species
GUUGACCUCGAAUCAGGUAGGACUAC